rnacentral:rRNA from 1 species
GUGGGGAAUAUUGCGCAAUGGGCGAAAGCCUGACGCAGCGACGCCGCGUGAGGGAUGAAGGUUUUCGGAUCGUAAACCUCUGUCAGAAGGGAAGAAACUACAUUGUGCUAAUCAGCAGUGUACUGACGGUACCUUCAAAGGAAGCACCGGCUAACUCCGUGCCAGCAGCCGCGGUAAUACGGAGGGUGCAAGCGUUAAUCGGAAUUACUGGGAGUAAAGCGCACGUAGGCUGUAGUGUAAGUCAGGGGUGAAAUCCCACGGCUCAACCGUGGAACUGCCUUGGAUACUGCACAACUUGAAUCCGGGAGAGGGUGGCGGAAUUCCAGGUGUAGGAGUGAAAUCCGUAGAUAUCUGGAGGAACAUCAGUGGCGAAGGCGGCCACCUGGACCGGUACUGACGCUGAGGCGCGAAAGCGUGGGGAGCAAACAGGAUUAGAAACCCUGGUAGUCC